GUGCAGCAGUCGAGAAUUUUUCUCAAUGGGGGCAACCCUGAAGGAGCGACGCCGCGUGGAGGAUGAAGGCUUUCGGGUUGUAAACUCCUGUCAUUUGAGAACAAGUGGCCGAACCUAACUACUUCGGCCUUGAUAGUAUCAGAAGAGGAAGGGACGGCUAACUCUGUGCCAGCAGCCGCGGUAAUACAGAGGUCCCAAGCGUUGUUCGGAUUCAUUGGGCGUAAAGGGUGCGUAGGUGGCGCCGUCAGUGGGGUGUGAAAUUUCGGAGCUUAACUCCGAAACUGCAUUCCAUACUGCGGUGCUUGAGGACUGGAGAGGAGACUGGAAUUUACGGUGUAGCAGUGAAAUGCGUAGAGAUCGUAAGGAAGACCAGUGGCGAAGGCGGGUCUCUGGACAGUUCCUGACACUGAGGCACGAAGGCCAGGGGAGCAAACGGGAUUAGAUACCCCCGUAGU
rnacentral:rRNA from 1 species